GGUUAAAUAAAGGUGUUCUCAACUGGCCUACCUGGUUAAAUAAAGGUGUUCUCAACUGGCCUACCUGGUUAAAUAAAGGUGUUCUCAACUGGCCUCCCUGGUUAAAUAAAGGUGUUCUCAACUGGCCUACCUGGUUAAAUAAAGGUGUUCUCAACUGGCCUACCUGGUUAAAUAAAGGUGUUCUCAACUGGCCUCCCUGGUUAAAUAAAGGUGUUCUCAACUGGCCUCCCUGGUUAAAUAAAGGUGUUCUCAACUGGCCUACCUGGUUAAAUAAAGGUGUUCUCAACUGGCCUACCUGGUUAAAUAAAGGUGUUCUCAACUGGCCUCCCUGGUUAAAUAAAGGUGUUCUCAACUGGCCUACCUGGUUAAAUAAAGGUGUUCUCAACUGGCCUACCUGGUUAAAUAAAGGUGUUCUCAACUGGCCUCCCUGGUUAAAUAAAGGUGUUCUCAACUGGCCUCCCUGGUUAAAUAAAGGUGUUCUCAACUAGCCGACCUGGUUAAAUAAAGGUGUUCUCAACUGGCCUACCUGGUUAAAUAAAGGUG